rnacentral:misc_RNA from 1 species
GAUGAAGAACGUAGCGAAAUGCGAUAAGUAAUGUGAAUCGCAGAAUUCAGUGAAUCAUCGAAUCUUUGAACGCACCUUGCGCCCUUUGGCCAUUCCGAAGGGCAUGCCUGUUUGAGUAUCAUGAACACCUCAACUCUCAUGGCUCGCCAUGAUGAGCUUGGAUUUGGGGGUCUUGCUGGCCUGUGGUCGGCUCCUCUCAAAUGGAUCAGCUUGCCAGUGUUUGGUGGCAUCACAGGUGUGAUAACUAUCUGCGCUUGUGGUUUUCCAUCAGAUAACCUUCAGUGAUGGAGGUUCGCUGGAGCUCAUAAACGUCUCCCCUAAGCGGGGACAGCCCUUUGAAUGUUUGAUCUCAAAUCAGGUAGGACUACCCGCUGAACUUAAGCAUAUCAAUAAGCGGAGGA